rnacentral:rRNA from 1 species
GAUGAACGCUGGCGGCGUGCCUAAUACAUGCAAGUCGAGCGAACGGACGAGAAGCUUGCUUUUCUGAUGUUAGCGGCGGACGGGUGAGUAACACGUGGAUAACCUACCUAUAAGACUGGGAUAACUUCGGGAAACCGGAGCUAAUACCGGAUAAUAUUUUGAACCGCAUGGUUCAAAAGUGAAAGACGGUCUUGCUGUCACUUAUAGAUGGAUCCGCGCUGCAUUAGCUAGUUGGUAAGGUAACGGCUUACCAAGGCAACGAUGCAUAGCCGACCUGAGAGGGUGAUCGCCCACCCUGGAAGUGAGACACCGUCCUGACUCCUGCGGGAGGCAGCAGUAGGGAAUCUUCCGCAAUGGGCGAAAGCCUGACGGAGCAGCGCCGCGCGAGUGAUGAAGGUCUUCGGAUCGUAAAACUCUGUUAUUAGGGAAGAACAUAUGUGUAAGUAACUGUGCACAUCUUGACGGUACCUAAUCAGAAAGCCACGGCUAACUACGUG